AAAUGUUGCCUGCCUUAAAUUGUCAGCACCAAACUGGCAAACCAGUCUCCUUUGGACUGUCUGCAGUGCCCACGAUUGCAUAUCAUCCCCCAGGCAGCGAGGUGCAUCUGUGUGAGAUGACUCCUGCCACUAGUGGGAGGGUUAUGGCUUUCUGAGAUGUUUCCCUUAGUGGUGCCUCUGGGGUCUCCCUAACUCUGUUGGCAUCUUUGGAGGUGGUAUGUGACGGAGUCAAGGAAAACUUUUAAGGAGAAAAGAGAAGAAACCAACAUUUAUGGUUCUCUUUCAUUGGUAGUGGAGAAUAAGAAAGGAAAUGGCAGGUGGAGAGGGAUGGGGGAAGGAAUAGAAAUGGCCUAUCUUUGAUGCUGUGGUUUGUGUGAAGGCAAUGGAGAAGAACCUAGCGGGUGCAGAGCAUCCGUGUUGGCGGCACAUGGCAGCUGUUCAGCAUGGCCAGAGCCUCACCUAGAAGUAAAGCGAGUGAAAAAGAAAAUUCUUGUUCCCUGGGUACCAAUCAUCUUUAGAAUUUCUAUUGGCAAACCCUCUGGGGACAACCUAACCUAAAAAAACAAAACCAAAGAAUCCCUGUCUCAAAACUGCUAGUCUAAAAGCCAGACGGACAAGAUGGUGGAAACUACUAGAAGAGACAGAAGGCUCCCCUCUCUUUGCUGUACCUACCUAACCACUCCUACCCCUGUAACGUAGAAUUGGAAAUUGAUGUCAGCUAUGAAGUAAUUUGGACUUUGAAAGAAGGAAGGAGUGUGUCCAGGGCAGGGUGAGCACAAAUCCAUGGGGAUGUUAUGUACAAUCUGGUUCAACUUAAAGGUGUAUAAGCAACAAGCCUGGAGCCUCUUGAGAGUAAAGCACAACAUUUAGGGAAAGAAUAUGUGAGUGCUAACUUCAUAGCAAGAUUCAGAAAAAAGUCCAAUGACAUCUUCAACUACCUUGCAUUGUCACUUUAAUGCUAUUCCUUUGAGGAGAUGGAUCAGUGUCAUGGGAGGGUGGGUGACAAAGCUUCAAAGAAAAACAUCGCCAGGGUGUCAGUUGUGAGAUGACAUUUAUUUAGUGAUGAUCAAUUUUAUACCGAAGCGGCUCGGAGGAGUUAUUUCGGGUGGGGUGGGUUGAUACCACAAAACACUGCAACAGUGGGCUUUACUUGAGGGUGAAGGAAGGUAACAAGCAUGCACCGUGUUAUUGCCGUGAUUCUCUGUGGAUUCGAAAACUUUUUCGAGGAGCUUGCAAUUAACGGGCUCCUUUUUUACUGUUGUUUCUUUGUGGGAGCACAGAGGGAGCUUAGAAUUUCAUUUGUCUAAGCAAGUGGUGUGAUUUACAAGGUCAAUCAUUUCAAGACAUGUUCAACAAUGUAUCAUUUGUAGCAUUGGAUACAAUGUUUACCAUAAAAUAUGCACCUGACUUUAUAUUUUUUUGCCAGGUUAUAGGGCAAAAGUGUUUUGCUAUGCACUCUAUUUUAUGUGUGAAUUUUUUUAACUGUAAUUUUAUGUGUGAAUUUUUUUUUUAACUAAACUAUAUCAACAUUUUCUAUGU
rnacentral:lncRNA from 1 species